rnacentral:rRNA from 1 species
AGAGUUUGAUCCUGGCUCAGAACGAACGUUGGCGGCGUGGAUUAGGCAUGCAAGUCGAACGAAUCCCUGAGGGCUUGCUUUCAGGGGGAAGUGGCGAAAGGGGCAGUAAAGCGUGGGUAACCUACCCCGGGGACCGGGAUAGCCCUCCUAACGGAGGGGUAAUACCGGGCGAUGCGGCGAGGGGGCAUCUUCUUGCCGUGAAAUGAGUUUCGCCUCGGGAGGGGCUCACGUGCUAUUACCUAGUUGGCGGGGUGACGGCCCACCAAGGGGAAGAUGGCUAGCCGGCGUGAGAGCGUGACCGGCGCCACUGGCACUGAGACACUGGCCAGACUCCUACGGGAGGCUGCAGUCGAGGAUCUUCGGCAAUGGGCGCAAGCCUGACCGAGCGACGCCGCGUGUGCGAUGAAGGCCUUCGGGUUGUAAAGCACUGUCGAGGGGGAGGAAGCCGCAAGGUUGACCUAUCCCUGGAGGAAGCACGGGCUAAGUUCGUGCCAGCAGCCGCGGUAAGACGAACCGUGCGAACGUUGUUCGGAAUCACUGGGCUUAAAGGGCGCGUAGGCGGCUUGCCAAGUCAGGGGUGAAAUCUUUCGGCUUAACCGGAAAACAGCCUCUGAUACUGGCGAGCUCGAGCGAGGUAGGGGCCGUUGGAACUUCCGGUGGAGCGGUGAAAUGCGUUGAUAUCGGAAGGAACGCCGGUGGCGAAAGCGAACGGCUGGACCUCUUCUGACGCUGAGGCGCGAAAGCCAGGGGAGCAAACGGGAUUAGAUACCCUGGUAGUCC